GAAUGUGAGGGUGACCUGGCUGUGACCCUGCCACACCAUUGAUUUCCAAGGCCCAUUAGACUGAUGUGGUGGCCCAGUGUCUUCUUUCUCCUUCACCUCCAUGUACCUCCAUCAAGCUUUAAGUUACUGGCUCAGACAACAGAAAUGUCCUCUCUCUGAUAAGAGAGGAUUUGUCCUUGGUAGGUGCAGGUGAUGUGAGGACUCAGUGAGUCCUUGAGAUAGGAAGCUUUCUGUGACCCUAAAAUGCAUUCUGAAGUGUUGAGAUGAACACUAUGGGAAGGGUCUGGCUGGUUUUCUUU
ensembl:misc_RNA 7SK 7SK RNA